AGGAGUAGCUUUUUGUUGCAUCUC
rnacentral:siRNA from 1 species